rnacentral:rRNA from 1 species
UUUAAAGAGACUGCCGGUGUUAAACCGGAGGAAGUGGGGAUGACGUCAAGUCCUCAUGGCCUUUAUGCCCAGGGCUACACACGUGCUACAAUGGGUGGUACAAAGAGAUGCAAUCUCGCAAGAGCAAGCAAACCUCAAAAAGCCAUCCUCAGUUCGGAUUGGAGUCUGCAACUCGACUCCAUGAAGUCGGAAUCGCUAGUAAUCGCGGAUCAGCACGCCGCGGUGAAUACGUUCCCGGGCCUU